AUUGGGUAGGGGAGCGUUCUGUAAGCCGUUGAAGGUGGUCUGUAAGGGCUGCUGGAGGUAUCAGAAGUGCGAAUGCUGACAUGAGUAACGACAAAGGGGGUGAAAAACCUCCUCGCCGGAAGACCAAGGGUUCCUGUCCAACGUUAAUCGGGGCAGGGUGAGUCGACCCCUAAGGUGAGGCCGAAAGGCGUAAUCGAUGGGAAACGGGUUAAUAUUCCCGUACUUCUGACUAUUGCGAUGGGGGGACGGAGAAGGCUAGGUGGGCCAGGCGACGGUUGUCCUGGUUCAAGUGCGUAGGCUUAAGAGUUAGGUAAAUCCGGCUCUUUCUAAGGCUGAGACACGACGUCGAGCUGCUACGGCAGUGAAGUCAUUGAUGCCAUGCUUCCAGGAAAAGCCUCUAAGCUUCAGAUAGUCAGGAAUCGUACCCCAAACCGACACAGGUGGUCGGGUAGAGAAUACCAAGGCGCUUGAGAGAACUCGGGUGAAGGAACUAGGCAAAAUGGUACCGUAACUUCGGGAGAAGGUACGCUCUUGAUGGUGAAGUCCCU
rnacentral:rRNA from 1 species